rnacentral:rRNA from 1 species
AGCGAACGCUGGCGGCAGGCUUAACACAUGCAAGUCGAGCGGGCAUCUUCGGAUGUCAGCGGCAGACGGGUGAGUAACACGUGGGAACGUACCCUUCGGUUCGGAACAACUCUGGGAAACUGGAGCUAAUACCGGAUACGCCCUUAUGGGGAAAGGUUUACUGCCGAAGGAUCGGCCCGCGUCUGAUUAGCUAGUUGGUGGGGUAACGGCCUACCAAGGCGACGAUCAGUAGCUGGUCUGAGAGGAUGAUCAGCCACACUGGGACUGAGACACGGCCCAGACUCCUACGGGAGGCAGCAGUGGGGAAUAUUGGACAAUGGGCGCAAGCCUGAUCCAGCCAUGCCGCGUGAGUGAUGAAGGCCCUAGGGUUGUAAAGCUCUUUUGUCCGGGACGAUAAUGACGGUACCGGAAGAAUAAGCCCCGGCUAACUUCGUG